UUAGGUUGUCCAACUUUUCACACUAACACGCAAUGUUGUGUGUCUUCACAUGUCCGUGUGCAAGAGCUUCUGUAGGAUAUGCACCUAGAAAUGGAAUCGCUGGGGUGAAAGGAGGCGUUCCUUCAGUCGUCCUGGGUACUACAAAGGGGCUGGACCAGUACAUUUCUACCAGCAGUGGGGGGGCAUUCCUGUCUCCACGUGUCCUCCCCAUCACUUGAUACUAUCAGACUUUUUCAUCUUUGCCAAUCUGCUGGGUUUGUCAUACUAUUCACGGAUGACCUGGGCCAUAUUUCCCAGUGGAGCUCCAUCAUGGCUGGGAGUCUUGCAGGCAUGGUUUCCACCAUUGUGACAUACCCUACAGACCUCAUCAAAACCCGGUUGAUUGUGCAGAACCUGCUGGAACCAUCUUACAGAGGGAUCCUCCAUGCUUUUUCUACCAUUUAUCAACAGGAAGGGUUCUUAGCCCUGUAUCGAGGGGUUUCCCUUACUGUUCUAGGAUGAAUACCUGCUAUUGGACACCUUCACCUGCUGCUCCCUGGGCGCAUCCAGCUCAAGAUUAAACCUGACGUCCUCGUUAGGCUCACACCUGCUCCUCCUGGGUUCCCUAAAGGAUGUGACUGCCUGCCUUUCACCCAGUGGCCCAAGCUGGAAGAAACCUAGAACCGCUUCAGCUCCUCUCCUCUCUCCGCUGUGGCUUCCGUCACCAAGUACUGUCAGUUUGACCUCUCCACUGUCAGUCUGUCGCCCUCCAUCUCCACCUCCUCUGCCCUCAUCCUCAUCCUUCCCGCAGACACUUACGAGAGGUUCCCACCGGGUCCCAGUCCCAGGCACUGCUGCCAGGGCCUGGGGACCCUCCGAAACUCAAGUCGGUCAUUUCACCACCCCUCAUUCCAGUGUCCUCCAUUCCAGCCCUCCCUGACUCCUGAGCUACAGGGAAAGGCCCAAAUUCUUUAUGGCACACCAUCAGAUCCUUCAGACCUGGCCGCGGCCGACCCGUCCCACCUCACCUCCUGCCGUCCCUCUGCCGGCACUCAUGCUCCAGCCAUCCAGAAACACUUGCAAUUUCCUGGAAACACCAGUCCCUUUGUACCUGCUGUUCCCUCUGCCUGGACUGCCUGUCCGCUCUCCCGGUGUCUGACGAACUCCUACUCAAUCCUCAAGGCCCAGUGGGAACGUUCUCUCUUCUGUGAAGUCCUUCCUGAUUCCCCUAGGCAAAAU